rnacentral:lncRNA from 1 species
GUCGGACACUGUCUGGAAAUUUUUUGGUUGCAUAUAGGAACUAAUUCUGCAAGCCUUAAUAUCCAAAAUAUUAUUUCAUCUUUAUCAUUGAGGGGAUGUUCUGCAUAGUAGGAGCCUCAACUGACCUCUGCAGUGCAGGGCUGUGCUCAAUGGGCACGCAGUGCUGCCUUCAGCACCAUGAUCCAGCUGGGGCUGCAGACAUUACCCGAGCUCUUCAAGCAAAUCCAAAUAGGCAGCUUUUACCCACCCCUGAGUGGUACCUGCCUCAUGCUUUCAGUACAAGGCUGCAUGGCACAACAUGCACUCGGUGCUCUGGCAUGGAGGGAAGCAGGAGCUGAGCAGCUGAUGCUGGGGCAGGAAGAGGGACUAGAAAGGUGGUUGAUCCUCCAGCUGCUGCAAGGGUGACUGCUGGUCAUCCUGCCACUGUUCCACCCCUGGCUGCAUAGGGGAUGUGCUUCCCUAUGCCUGGUAUGCUGGGGAAUGGCACAUUGCCUGCCCUGUCCUAAGGCGCCGUGCUUUCUGAUCUCUUCCUCCAGAUUUUGCCUUCGUUUAAGACAUUUGCCUUCAAAUUGUCCCUAGAUCCAGGGAGAGACUCGAGAAACAUAGCUUAACACAUUAGACUAGAGCAAAGUGAAUGUCAUUACCCCACAUGCCUGUGGAUGCAGCUGUACGAGGCUUCUGUCAAAUCACCUGCUACUCCAUCCCUUCCUGCAUGAAGUUGGCUGGCAGCCAGGCUAGAAAAGCCCCAACAACAGCUCAGGAGCCCAGCACAGGCAUCCCUCAUCAGGUGGAGAGGAGCAGUGCCUGCAGCUCCCAGUGGCUUUGCACAUCCAUGCCCAAGGCUUCUCCUACAUCUUUGGCUGUAGAAGAAUAUUUCAACUACCCUAACAGUUAAAAAAACGCCUGCUAGUUGUUUAUUGUUCAAGCAUUCCUGCUGCUUCCCAGUAGUUAAUGGAGGAAAUGCCAUGGGAGCCAAGGGAGAAACUGGUCAAGGGAAGCAGAAUAAAUUAGGAUCAUUGUUUCA